rnacentral:rRNA from 1 species
AGAGUUUGAUCAUGGCUCAGAUUGAACGCUAGCGGCAUGCUUAACACAUGCAAGUCGAACGGUAACAGUCCUAGCUUGCUAGGAGCUGACGAGUGGCGGACGGGUGAGUAACGCGUAGGAAUUUACCUUGUAGUGGGGGAUAACCUGGGGAAACCCAAGCUAAUACCGCAUGAGCCCUAAGGGGGAAAGCGUGGGACCGAAAGGCCACGUGCUAUGAGCUGAGCCUGCGUCGGCUUAGCUAGUUGGUAGGGUAAAGGCCUACCAAGACGAGGAUCCGUAGCUGGUCUGAGAGGACGACCAGCCACACUGGGACUGAGACACGGCCCAGACUCCUACGGGAGGCAGCAGUGGGGAAUAUUGGACAAUGGGCGAAAGCCUGAUCCAGCAAUGCCGCGUGAGUGAAGAAGGCCUUCGGGUUGUAAAGCUCUUUUACCCGGGAAGAUAAUGACUGUACCGGGAGAAUAAGCCCCGGCUAACUCCGUGCCAGCCGCCGCGGUAAUAC